GCUCCUGAGCCAGAAUGUCACAUGGGCGCCCGGCGACUCGGCCGCACAAACACUAUAAUACAUGGAUACGGUAUACAUACAAUCUAUGGCUGAUCAUUACAUCUGGUCGGGGCUCUUUGGGACUCAGUUACAAAUUUAAUCAUACAUCUCUCCCAAAAACACAAGAGGAGGGAAGCAUCUCAAGAGGAAGCAGCAGACAAUUUAAGCACAUCAGAAGAAAAUCCAAAUCUGUCCAAGAACAUCACGAAUCGAGAAGGAAGUACCGAGAUCUCUAUUGAACAAGUAAACGCCAGAAUAUAUCCACAAUUAGGCUUACACGAGGUUCGCACGCAGAACGCCAGAGAGAGCGAAAGAAGGAACAACCGGAAAGAAGAACCAAUUCCAGCGCCGCGACGAACGCUCGCACCGCCGCAACUAGCGCUCGCAGCGCCACAAUUAACGCUCGCAACGCCACAGCAUUCAUGUGCUCCAAUAUUCAGUGACAUGAACGGAUUUAGGACAAUUAUUGAUUUUUGGCCUAACAUUAUCAAUGGUGUCAAAUUGUGCAUUGAAAAGGAAGGAAAAUUAAAAGGAAAGAGAGGAAAAAGAAGAAAGGAAAAGGAAAAGAGAUGUGGAAGGAAGCAUAAUCUGAAUCAGUGGAUAAUCAUUAACAGCAGUAAGGAUGCCAUUAGCAAUGGCAAUCAAUUUGUCAUAAUAUUUGUAAUAUAAUUGUAUUUUAGAUUUCAGCGAAGCAUAUAAAAGCAUUCAAAAUGGAAAGAUAGAAAUUUUUUUUAUAUUUUAUUGUUCAG